GUUCGAAGCCGUCCGGCGCCUCCUGCGAAUCCGUGGACGAAUCCUGGGACAACGGUGGUUACGAGUUUCUCGACUACGAAAAAGAAGAGGAAGAGGAGAAGACCCCCGAUUCAUCUUUUUUCUGAUGCCAAUUCUUCCCCUUCGCUUUGAUUUCAUCGCAGACGCUUCCUCUCGGGCUUGAAUCAUCGGAUUCCUAUCUUCAUGGACGGGUGAAGCCAGGGACAUGGUUAAGAGGAAGAGGAAGAGGGAGAAGGCCCAUAGGGCACCAUCUACUACGGUUUAUAGUUGUAGGUAAGGAACAUUGAAGAAAAAACCCUACUCAUAGAAAAAGAAGAAAUUACAUUGUUCUGUUUAUAUUUCAAUUCAGAAUUUGCUAAUCUGUAG